rnacentral:rRNA from 1 species
UACGUAGGGGCCUAGCGUUGUCCGGAUUUAUUGGGCGUAAAGAGCUCGUAGGCGGUUUGGUGAGUCGGGUGUGAAAUCUCCACGCUCAACGUGGAGGGGCCACCCGAUACUGCCAUGACUAGAGUCCGGUAGGGGAGUGUGGAAUUCCCGGUGUAGCGGUGAAAUGCGCAGAUAUCAGGAAGAACACCCGUGGCUAAGGCGGCUCUCUAGUACGGUACUGACGCUGAGACGCGAAAGCGUGGGGAGCGAACAGG